rnacentral:misc_RNA from 1 species
AGAUUGCAUAGAUGCAGCUUUGAUUACUAUAUUUCAGAUACAUCUAGAGGAGGGACCUGGUGAUGUGCUUGUAUUCCUUACUGGUCAAGAGGAGAUUGAAUCCGUUGAGAGGCUUAUCCAUGAACGUCUCCGACAAUUACCCGAAUGCAGUAGGAAACUCUUAACUUUUCCCAUAUUCUCAUCACUUCCCUCUGAGAAGCAAAUGAGGGUUUUCAUGCCUUCACCAGCUGGAUAUCGUAAGGUGAUACUAGCAACAAAUAUUGCUGAGACGUCGGUGACAAUACCUGGAAUUAGGUAUGUUGUGGAUCCUGGACUGGUGAAAGCCCGAACAUAUGAUCCUAAGAUGGGAGUUGA